rnacentral:rRNA from 1 species
GACGAACGCUGGCGGCGUUCCUAAUACAUGCAAGUCGAACGCAUUUUCUUUCACCGUAGCUUGCUACACCGAAAGAAAAUGAGUGGCGAACGGGUGAGUAACACGUGGGUAACCUGCCCAUCAGCGGGGGAUAACACUUGGAAACAGGUGCUAAUACCGCAUAAUUCCAUUUACCGCAUGGUAAAUGGAUGAAAGGCGCUUUUGCGUCACUGAUGGAUGGACCCGCGGUGCAUUAGCUAGUUGGUGGGGUAACGGCCUACCAAGGCUGCGAUGCAUAGCCGACCUGAGAGGGUGAUCGGCCACACUGGGACUGAGACACGGCCCAGACUCCUACGGGAGGCAGCAGUAGGGAAUCUUCGGCAAUGGACGCAAGUCUGACCGAGCAACGCCGCGUGAAUGAAGAAGGUUUUCGGAUCGUAAAACUCUGUUGUUAGAGAAGAACAAGGAUGAGAGUGGAAAGUUCAUCCCUUGACGGUAUCUAACCAGAAAGCCACGGCUAACUACG